rnacentral:rRNA from 1 species
CCUACGGGAGGCAGCAGUGAGGAAUAUUGGUCAAUGGGCGCGAGCCUGAACCAGCCAAGUCGCGUGAGGGAGGACGGCCCUACGGGUUGUAAACCUCUUUUGCCGGGGAGCAACGGGCGUCACGUGUGGCGCCACUGAGAGUACCCGGAGAAAAAGCAUCGGCUAACUCCGUGCCAGCAGCCGCGGUAAUACGGAGGAUGCGAGCGUUAUCCGGAUUUAUUGGGUUUAAAGGGUGCGUAGGCGGAUCGUUAAGUCAGUGGUCAAAUUGAGGGGCUCAACCCCUUCCCGCCAUUGAAACUGGCGUUCUUGAGUGGAAGAGAAGUAUGCGGAAUGCGUGGUGUAGCGGUGAAAUGCAUAGAUAUCACGAAGAACUCCGAUUGCGAAGGCAGCCUACUAAACUGCCACUGACAUUGAUGCUCGAAAGUGUGGGUAUCAAACAGGAUUAGAUACCCCUGUAGUC